UGGGGGAUAUUGGACAAUGGGGGAAACCCUGAUCCAGCGAUGCCGCGUGGGGGAAGAAGGUUUUCGGAUUGUAAACCUCUGUGGACAGGGACGAUAAUGACGGUACCUGUUUAGAAAGCCACGGCUAACUACGUGCCAGCAGCCGCGGUAAUACGUAGGUGGCGAGCGUUGUCCGGAAUUACUGGGUGUAAAGGGAGUGUAGGCGGGAAGGCAAGUCAGAAGUGAAAAUUAUGGGCUUAACCCAUAACCUGCUUUUGAAACUGUUUUUCUUGAGUGAGGCAGAGGCAAGCGGAAUUCCUAGUGUAGCGGUGAAAUG
rnacentral:rRNA from 1 species